AGGCAGCAGUGGGGAAUAUUGGACAAUGGGGGGAACCCUGAUCCAGCCAUGCCGCGUGUGUGAAGAAGGCCUUUUGGUUGUAAAGCACUUUAAGCGAGGAGGAGGCUACCGAGAUUAAUACUCUUGGAUAGUGGACGUUACUCGCAGAAUAAGCACCGGCUAACUCUGUGCC
rnacentral:rRNA from 1 species